GACGAACGCUGGCGGCGUGCUUAACACAUGCAAGUCGAACGGAAAGGCCCUGCUUUUGUGGGGUGCUCGAGUGGCGAACGGGUGCGUAACACGUGAGUAUCCUGCCCUUGACUUUGGGAUAACUUCAGGAAACUGGGGCUACUCCCAGAUAGGAGCCCCUGCUGCAUUGUGGGGGUUGGAACGUUUCGGCGGUUGGGGAUGGACUCGCGGCUUAGCAGCUAGUUGGUGGGGUAGUGGCUGACCAAGGCAUUGACGGGUAGCCGGCCUGAGAGGGUGACCGGCCACAUUGGGACUGAGAUACGGCCCAGACUCCUACGGGAGGCAGCAGUGGGGAAUAUUGCACAAUGGGCCGAAGCCUGAUGCAGCAACGCCGCGUGCGGGAUGACGGCCUUCGGGUUGUAAACCGCUUUCGCCUGUGACGAAGCGUGAGUGACGGUAAUGGGUAAAUAAGCACCGGCUAACUACGUG
rnacentral:rRNA from 1 species